rnacentral:rRNA from 1 species
CAGUAGCCGCGGGAAUACGAAGGGUGCAAGCGUUAAUCGGAAUUACUGGGCGUAAAGCGCGCGUAGGUGGUUCAUUAAGUUGGAUGUGAAAGCCCUGGGCUCAACCUGGGAACUGCAUCCAAAACUGGUGAGCUAGAGUACGGUAGAGGGUAGUGGAAUUUCCUGUGUAGCGGUGAAAUGCGUAGAUAUAGGAAGGAACACCAGUGGCGAAGGCGACUACCUGGACUGAUACUGACACUGAGGUGCGAAAGCGUGGGGAGCAAACAGGAUUAGAUACCCCCGUAGUCCCUGUCUCUUAUAC